GCCAGCCCGCUCAGAACUUAAGGAAUUGACGGGGCCGCACAAGCGGAGGAGCAUGUGGUUUAAUUCGAUGAUACGCGAGGAACCUUACCUGGGCUCGAACGUAAGAUGACUGUAGGUGAAAGCUUACAUCUCUUCGGAGCAUUUUACGAGGUGCUGCAUGGUUGUCGUCAGCUCGUGCCGUGAGGUGUCGGGUUAAGUCCCAUAACGAGCGCAACCCCUACCUUUAGUUGCCAUCAGGUUAAGCUGGGGACUCUAAAGGAACUGCCUACGCAAGUAGUGAGGAAGGCGGGGAUGACGUCAAAUCAGCACGGCCCUUACGUCCAGGGCUACACACGUGCUACAAUGGCCGAUACAGAGGGCAGCUACCUGGUGACAGGAUGCAAAUCUCCAAAGUCGGUCUCAGUUCGGAUCGGAGUCUGCAACCCGACUCCGUGAAGUUGGAUUCGCUAGUAAUCGCGCAUCAGCCAUGGCGCGGUGAAUACGUUCCCGGGCCUU
rnacentral:rRNA from 1 species